rnacentral:rRNA from 1 species
AGCUUCUACCGCAUGGUGGGGGUUGGAAAGAUUUUUCGGUCUGGGAUGGGCUCGCGGCCUAUCAGCUUGUUGGUGAGGUAAUGGCUCACCAAGGCGUCGACGGGUAGCCGGCCUGAGAGGGUGACCGGCCACACUGGGACUGAGACACGGCCCAGACUCCUACGGGAGGCAGCAGUGGGGAAUAUUGCACAAUGGGCGGAAGCCUGAUGCAGCAACGCCGCGUGAGGGAUGACGGCCUUCGGGUUGUAAACCUCUUUUAGCAAGGAAGAAGCGAAAGUGACGGUACUUGCAGAAAAAGCGCCGGCUAACUACGUGCCAGCAGCCGCGGUAAUACGUAGGGCGCAAGCGUUAUCCGGAAUUAUUGGGCGUAAAGAGCUCGUAGGCGGUUUGUCGCGUCUGCUGUGAAAUCCCGAGGCUCAACCUCGGGCCUGCAGUGGGUACGGGCAGACUAGAGUGCGGUAGGGGAGAUUGGAAUUCCUGGUGUAGCGGUGGAAUGCGCAGAUAUCAGGAGGAACACCGAUGGCGAAGGCAGAUCUCUGGGCCGUAACUGACGCUGAGGAGCGAAAGGGUGGGGAGCAAACAGGCUUAGAUACCCUGGUAGUCCACCCCG